rnacentral:rRNA from 2 species
GGGGUGCUAAUACAUGCAAGUCGAACGCACUCUCGUUUAGAUUGAAGGAGCUUGCUCCUGAUUGAUAAACAUUUGAGUGAGUGGCGGACGGGUGAGUAACACGUGGGUAACCUGCCCUAAAGUGGGGGAUAACAUUUGGAAACAGAUGCUAAUACCGCAUAAAACCUAACACCGCAUGGUGUAGGGUUGAAAGAUGGUUUCGGCUAUCACUUUAGGAUGGACCCGCGGUGCAUUAGUUAGUUGGUGAGGUAAAGGCUCACCAAGACCGUGAUGCAUAGCCGACCUGAGAGGGUAAUCGGCCACACUGGGACUGAGACACGGCCCAGACUCCUACGGGAGGCAGCAGUAGGGAAUCUUCCACAAUGGACGAAAGUCUGAUGGAGCAACGCCGCGUGAGUGAAGAAGGUUUUCGGAUCGUAAAACUCUGUUGUUGGAGAAGAAUGUAUCUGAUAGUAACUGAUCAGGUAGUGACGGUAUCCAACCAGAAAGCCACGGCUAACUACGUGCCAGCAGCCGCGGUAAUACGUAGGUGGCAAGCGUUGUCCGGAUUUAUUGGGCGUAAAGCGAGCGCAGGCGGUUUCUUAA